UGCGUAGGCGGGUUUCUAAGUCAGAGGUGAAAGCCUGGAGCUCAACUCCAGAACUGCCUUUGAUACUGGAAGUCUUGAGUAUGGCAGAGGUGAGUGGAGCUGCGAGUGUAGAGGUGAAAUUCGUAGAUAUUCGCAAGAACACCAGUGGCGAAGGCGGCUCACUGGGCCAUUACUGACGCUGAGGCACGAAAGCGUGGGGAGCAAACA
rnacentral:rRNA from 1 species